UUGACCUCAAAUCAGGUAGGACUACCCGCUGAACUUAAGCAUAUCAAUAAGCGGAGGAAAAGAAACUAACAAGGAUUCCCCUAGUAACUGCGAGUGAAGCGGGAAAAGCUCAAAUUUGAAAUCUGGCAGUCUUUUUUUUCUUGUUUGGCUGUCCGAG
rnacentral:rRNA from 1 species